rnacentral:lncRNA from 1 species
GUGAGAGCCACGUACAACCUGUACAAUCCUCAGAAUAUCAACUGGGACUUGCGUACUGCGAGUGUCUUCUGCGCAACAUGGGAUGCUGAUAAGCCAUUGUCAUGGCGCAGCAAAUAUGGAUGGACUGCCUUCUGCGGACCCGUUGGCCCUACCGGACAAGAUUCUUGUGGGAAGUGCUUACUGGUAAUUAAUCAUUAGUACUAAUUAGUUUUGUUGGUCAUCUUCUAAUUAUCUGUCAGUAAACAUAAUUAGCACAUACAUUAAUUUCUGCAAUUUAUAUUUAUUUAAUCGAGGUAUAUUUAUAUAUGUGAAAUUGAUAUUAUAUGCAGGUGACAAACACGGGCACAGGAGCUAAAGUGACAGUAAGGAUUGUGGAUCAGUGCAGCAAUGGAGGGUUAGAUUUGGACGUGAACGUGUUUAACCAGAUAGACACUAAUGGACAAGGCAAUGCCCAAGGCCACCUUAUUGUCAACUACGACUUUGUUGACUGUGGCGACUAAACCUUAAACUUUAAGCUCUAAACCAAUAAAUAAGUUUCAAUGUUGUAGAUGAAAUAAGUUCAAAGUGGGAUCGCUUCUUGGAUUAUAACAAGAAGUACUAUUAUUGUUGACUGUAAACUUGAAGCUUCUGGAGUAAAUGAUCAUUUGCAUUAAGAAUUACCCCUCAUUUUCAAGCUGUCCCUUAUGUGUGGCUUUUUUUUUUGGGGUCAAUUGUCUCUUAUGUGUUUGGGUAGUGUACGUAACAGGCCUGGUCAUAUCUUCACUUAAUUCUUGAUGAUCUACUUCGGUCUUCUCAAUUAAUUGGACUUCAUCUGCCUGAUGAGCUCGUCCGGGGGCAUUCGUUUUUGGAAGACUUUUCUAAUUGAGAAUAACAAUAAUAUACUAAACUCACAUACACUACACAAAUGUUAUGAUUCGAAUUUAAAACCUUUCCUAUGGUACAUGGG